rnacentral:rRNA from 1 species
GACGUAGGGGGGCCAGCGUUGUUCGGAAUUACUGGGUGUAAAGGGUUCGUAGGCGGUGUAGCAAGUCGGGAGUGAAAUCUCUGGGCUUAACCCAGAGGCUGCUUCCGAAACUGCUGUGCUUGAGUGUGGGAGAGGCGCGUGGAAUUGCAGGUGUAGCGGUGAAAUGCGUAGAUAUCUGGAGGAACACCGGUGGCGAAGGCGGCAUCCUGGACCGAUAUUGACGCUGAGGAGCGAAAGCUAGGGGAGCAAACGGG